CCUACGGGAGGCAGCAGUGAGGAAUAUUGGUCAAUGGGCGCGAGCCUGAACCAGCCAAGUAGCGUGAAGGAUGACUGCCCUCCGGGUUGUAAACUUCUUUUAUAAAGGAAUAAAGUGAGGCACGUGUGCCUUUUUGUAUGUACUUUAUGAAUAAGGCUCGGCUAACUACGUGCCAGCAGCCGCGGUAAUACGGAGGAUCCGAGCGUUAUCCGGAUUUAUUGGGUUUAAAGGGAGCGUAGAUGGGUUGGUAAGUCAGUUGUGAAAGGUUGCGGCUCAACCGUAAAAUUGCAAUUGAUACUGGCAGUCUUGAGUACAGUUGAGGUAGGAGGAAUUCGUGGUGUAGCGGUGAAAUGCUUAGAUAUCACGAAGAACUCCGAUGGCGAAGGCAGCUUACUAAACUGCCACUGACAUUGAGGCUCGAAAGUGUGGGGAGCAAACAGGAUUAGAUACCCGGGUAGUC
rnacentral:rRNA from 1 species